UACGUAGGGGGCAAGCGUUGUCCGGAAUCAUUGGGCGUAAAGCGCGUGUAGGCGGUCCGGUAAGUCGGCUGUGAAAGUCCAGGGCUCAACCCUGGGAUGCCGGUCGAUACUGCCGGACUAGAGUUCGGAAGAGGCGAGUGGAAUUCCCGGUGUAGCGGUGAAAUGCGCAGAUAUCGGGAGGAACACCAAUGGCGAAGGCAGCUCGCUGGGACGUUACUGACGCUGGAGACGCGAAAAGCGUGGGGAGCCAAACAGGG
rnacentral:rRNA from 1 species